UUAUGAUGAUGUCAUACUUUGUAUUGCUGGUGAUGCUGGGACUCCUUGUACAGGGAUCAAUGGCAGAUAAAGUUCUGACUCAGUCUCCAGCAGCUCGGUCUGUUCAGCUGGGAGAGACUGUCUCUAUCAGCUGUACAGCCAGUGAGAGCGUUUACUACUCCAAUGUUACCAAGGA